UGGGGGAUAUUGCACAAUGGGCGCAAGCCUGAUGCAGCGACGCCGCGUGGGGGAUGAAGGCCUUCGGGUUGUAAACUUCUUUUGCUCUGAACAAGGCGCACUUUGGGGUGUGUUGAGUGUAGGGGUUGAUUAGCGCCGGCUAACUACGUGCCAGCAGCCGCGGUAAUACGUAGGGCGCGAGCGUUGUCCGGAAUUAUUGGGCGUAAAGGGCUUGUAGGUGGCUGGUUGCGUCUGUCGUGAAAGCUCAUGGCUUAACUGUGGGUUUGCGGUGGGUACGGGCUGGCUUGAGUGCAGGAGGGGAGGCUGGAAUUCCUGGUGUAGCGGUGGAAUGCGCAGAUAUCAGGAGGAAUACCGGGGGCGAAGGCGGGUCUCUGGGCUGUUACUGACACUGAGGAGCGAAAGCAUGGGGAGAGAACAGG
rnacentral:rRNA from 1 species